rnacentral:pre_miRNA from 1 species
GGAAGUUAAGAAACUGUUUCUUAACUUUUAACUAAAAAAGCUAAGAACCGGUUCUUAAAAUCCUUAUUUAAAAACCGGUUCUUAGCUUUUUUAGUUAAAAGUUAAAAAACAGUUUCUUAACUUCC